rnacentral:misc_RNA from 1 species
GAUGAAGAACGUAGUGAAAUGCGAUAAGUAAUGUGAAUUGCAGAAUUCAGUGAAUCAUCCAAUCUUUGAACGCACAUUGCGCCCGCCAGUAUUCUGGCGGGCAUGCCUGUUCGAGCGUCAUUUCAACCAUCAAGCCCCAGGCUUGUGUUGGGGACCUGCGGCUGCCGCAGGCCCUGAAAACCAGUGGCGGGCUCGCUGUCACACCGGGCGUAGUAGAUUUUAUCUCGCUCAGGGCGUGCUGCGGGUUCCGGCCGUUAAAAAGCCUUUUUUACCCAAGGUUGACCUCGGAUCAGGUAGGAAGACCCGCUGAACUUAAGCAUAUCAAUAAGCGGAGGA